GGAGCAUGGUUAGGUUGUGGGGGCUCCACCCUCAGAUGGGAUUAAUGAGUCUUUCUCAGGCCCUGCUCACUGAGACUUUGUUGUAAAGACCCAGCCUGCCUGCCCCCCACCCCCUCUGACUUCCCGUCUGGACAUGUGAUCUGUCCCUCUCACAGAGUUUCAGCCAUGAUGUGGUGCAGCCCAGGGGCCCUCCCCAGGAUGCUGGCCCUGUAAUCUCAGCUCUCCUAGGCUCUGAGCUACAGAAGACUCUUUUCUUCAUACAGCAGCAGAAACUGAAUGAAAAUAACUUUCAAAGAUGAUGGCCAGAGACUUUUAAAGGCCAGUCCACCCACGGGGAGUGAGAUCUGACGCUCCUCAAUCCUGCUGUCCCACCAAGAUGCUUGGUAGCACUACCCCAGACGUGUCUGACAAUGGGCUGAAUACUUCAGAACUUUGCAUCUUUAUCUGAAAUAUAAAUGUCUAUUCUACCUAAAUCCAGUUUUCCAGUGGGUGGAGUAGAACAUCUGAAUUCUUAGUAAUCCCCAGGCCACCUGAUACGUAUAAGCAAUGGUGGGCAAAAGGCCUUCCCAGCUUUGUCUGUUCCUAAAGAGAGGAGAGUCUGCAGGAAAAAGGCCACCUGGAGCCCCUGAGGCUCCCCCUCCCUCCUUCAGUCUUCUAGAUGAUAGUUCACCAGCACCUGGAAUUCUUGCCUGUGCAUGUCCUUCCUGUGCCCUGCCUCCUCCCCAGAGUGGCUGCACUACCAGCCCACACAUCUCAGGCCUCAGGGAUACCUGGGCAGGAACUAGCAUUUGACAUGAGCAAGACCUGGAUACAGAGAAACAGAAUCAAUGGUUAGGGCCAGGUCAAGGCCCUCUCUGAUCUGGAUCUCUAGCCCUUCAUCCACCCACACCCCAUCCCCAAGGCUAGAGCUGUAUAAGAAGCUGUUCUACCCUCCUGGGAAAAUCCCGCCCCCAACCCCCGCCCCUCUGCUUUCCAGCUCACCACGGAUCUGUUCCACCCACCCAACCCUUUCCACCUGUGGCAGGACUUAGACCCCUCCCCACUGUUUGAUGAAAAUCCACCCACAGGGAGUUCAGAUGGGCACAGGAGCCUGGCUAAGGUUGGCAUUUCUGGCUGCCACAGCCACAGACACUCUGGGCCACUGGAGAGGAAAGAUAUGACCAGCUCCAAGGAAGGACAAGCCUGCCCUUUCCUUUCCCUUCCGGGUAGCUUGACACAGGUCAUGCCCUGCUGGGUAUCACAGGUGGCUUUACCUGCGCUGACCCUUCACUUGGAAAUGAACCAAAGCAUGGGCCUCUUCAUUAUAACAGCCUGGCCUAUACCUAACUAACUUAAGAUCUCUGCUGAGAAGCCUAGAUAUACCAUGUUGUAGACGGGAAUCUCCCAUGAAGUUAGGGGGUACUAGGGGUGGGGCUUGUGUAUACUACAAGACCUAUGCAGUCUGCAUUUCAGUUUUUUGCCCAGGUACAUCCCCAGGUACUAGGGCCUCUGCAGAAACUUCCCAUAUCUAUCCUGAGACCACAUGAUGCAUUGGGACCAGGAGAACCCCCUACUUCCUAGCUGGGCACCUGGCCCAGGUGUGGCCUGCAAGAGGAGUCUAUCCUCAGCACCAGUGGUGGAAUCAGGGAAGAGAGGUAACUAAGAAGGACUCUGGCAAGGAGUCCAAAGAGGACACUUGUGCCUGGUGCUUUUUUGAGCCUGAGCUUGUGGCCACUGCCUAAGGUGUGAUGGGCCAGGAAUGAGCAGAGAGCAGCUCUGAGCAGCACAGGAACUCAGGAGUGCUUCCUGAUGGCAGAUGCUGAAGCUCAGCCUUUCUGCAGAUCCUCCAGUCUCAGGCUUCCACUAUAGAGACUCACUUGGUUCUGGAAGCGUCUGCCAAUCUGAGUUGCAGUUUUGAACUAGUUGUUUCGUUUGAGACUUUGGUCAGUGUGAACAGAAGUUUCUUGUUCACAAAUUUUCCUACAGGAAUUGGCUGAUAAACUUGAUUUGGUGAGACUAAAUGGCCUACCAUGUACAGUCCCCAUUCCCCCACCCCCUGCACUUCCCAGACUCCUCCCGACACUUCCCAUUGUCGAGAUUUCCAUCACUGUUCCUGGUUUACAGUUGAAGAGGCUGAGGCUCAGCAGGAUGGCAGGUCCCACGCAAUCAGCUCAUUCUCUCCACACACACCCCCACACUGUCCCACCUUGUGAACAGGGACCAAGUGCCCUUGGCGAACUGCUCAGAGAGUCAGAAGCAUAUAGAACCCCUGGGGAGGUGGGGAGCCAUUACUCUUCCAUGAGUCCCCUGUGUGUUCCAGGAAGCCAACGGCCUGACGACUCUGUCUGGGAAUGGUAGGCUUCCACCUCUGUGGCCCAACUCAUUUCUGAUUCAUCUGACCCUUCCCUCUGGUGUGAUGAAAUUUCUGGCACUUCUCAGAAGUUCUAGUCACCCAGGACAAGACUUAGCCCAGCCUGGCCACUCAGGACAGCUUUCCUGGCUUGGGGAAAAGGCAUGGAUGAGGGGGCAGGGUGCUGAACUCAGAGUAAAGAUCUCACCAUGGGUUAGAAAGCAAGCUGGGGGUACCCAAAACCACCCCCCUACACACACACACACACACACACACACACACACACAUGCACACACACACCUUCCAGAAAAACCCAAAAAGGGAAGAGACCUGCCAAAGACCAAAUAACACAACCCUCAGGGGCUAAGUCGGGCAGUCAAGAGGCAAGCCUCUGGCUAUUCCAAGCCUUGGCUUUUUCACCUGUGAAAUGUUAAAGGCUGGCCCUAAUUUUAAUAAAUACAUUAGAGAACUUUUACCAAACCAGCAGAUGAUGUCUUCUC
rnacentral:lncRNA from 1 species